rnacentral:rRNA from 1 species
UGAGGAAUAUUGGACAAUGGAGGAAACUCUGAUCCAGCCAUGCCGCGUGAGUGAAGAAGGCCUUAGGGUUGUAAAGCUCUUUCAAUUGUGAAGAUAAUGACGGUAGCAAUAGAAGAAGCUCCGGCUAAAUUCGUGCCAGCAGCCGCGGUAAUACGAAUGGAGCAAGCGUUGUUCGGAAUCACUGGGCUUAAAGCGUAUGUAGGCGGACUUACAAGUCAGGAGUGAAAUCCCAGAGCUCAACUCUGGAACUGCUCUUGAAACUGUAAGUCUAGAAUUCUGGAGAGGUUGGGAGAAUUCCGAGUGUAGAGGUGAAAUUCGCAGAUAUUCGGAGGAAUACCAGUGGCGUAGGC